UUAUGGCCAUAUCAGUUUAAAACACCAGUUCUUGUACAGUCACCAAAGUUAAGCAACAUCGAGCCUGGUCAGUACCUUGAUGGGUGACCAAUUGGGAAUAUCAGAUGCUAU